GCGUCAGACCUGUUGUUUCAUGCACGUGUGUGUGUGUGUUUCAAAAAGGAGACGAGCGCACAGUGUGAUGGAAAGGGAAACUGACGUCUAGAGACACAUUUGAACAAAAACAGACUCCAGGGAUGUUGGCGGAUCUGUGUUUUCUCUGGAUGACAAAUUGAAUCAGAACUCUGUCCUGUGCUCUAAUGGAUUGAUGUCAGACGGACCGGCUGGAGGUGAUGAAGAACUGUCUGGGCUGCUCCCAGUUCUUCAAGCUACACCUGCAGACUCUGAUCUACUUUAUGUCCUGUGGACGCUGCUGGAAACCAUCCAUCUGGUCUCUCAUCCCACCAACUGCUGUCUGUUCUCCACCAUCCAGGUGAGGCAGCAUCAAUCCCCAAAAACUCAAUUCUUAUGUCCCAGAUAGGAAUGAAAUUUAUGGGGCAAAUUAGCAAAUAAAAAAACCUAUAGGUGAUGUAACUUCUGAUUGUUCAGUCCCACCCAG